GACACUGAAAAUGAAAACCUAAGAUUUAAACAUUCAGUCUUGAACGAAACUCCGAGACGAGAAGUGUUUAAUUUAAAUUUAAAACAAAAAACAAAAAAAAAUAUUCAACAAAAUGUCGAGGACUUGUCUUUUUGUGUUGAUUGCUUUAUUAGCCAUCACCACUGUUUUGGCACGCACCACUGUUGCUGAACAGAACACCAGGCUUAGCAGCAGACCAGCAAGCCCCAGCGGUCUUGCUAAGGCAACUUGUGGUAAACAUGGAGAUGAUUGUCAAAGUUCAGAUCAAUGCUGUGGCAAUACUCGCUGCCAUAUUUACGCUCACAAAUGUCAAGCUAUCAUAACCGCUGAAGAUUUGCAAAACCAAAGGAAGAAGCUCAGGCAUGUCGAGAUCAAUGCUCACAAAAAGGAUAGGAAUUAUUAAUAAGUAUCUAUAGGUACAUAAAUAAGUCAAGAAUAAAGCACAUAAAGAGGCAGAGACCUGAUAGUAAACUAAUAAAUUUAUGUGCUUAAUUUUUGUAUUUUUAUUUUUGAAAAUCUAAUCUUAAAAAAGAAAUAAGUGAUUUCAUUAAAAUGUUCGGACUUUCUAUAAGAGAA